GCCAGGCGCCAUGGCGUGUGCCUGUAGUCCCAGCUACUCGGGAGGAUGAGAUGGGAGGAUCGCUUGAGCCCAGGAGUUCUGGGCUGUAGUGCGUUAUGCUGAUGGGGUGUCUGCACUAAGUUCGGCAUCAAUAUGGUGACCUCCCAGGAGUGGGGACCACCAGGUUGCCUAAGGAGGGGUGAACUGGCCCAGUUCGGAAACGGAGCAGGUCAAAACUCCCGUGCUGAUCAGUAGUGGGAUCGUGCCAGUGAAUAGCCACUGCACUCCAGCCUGGGCAACAUAGCAAGACUCCAUCUCUU
ensembl:misc_RNA Metazoa_SRP Metazoan signal recognition particle RNA